rnacentral:tRNA from 1 species
UGGCGGUCACAGACUUCAAAUCCGAGGCUGCCCUAUCA